rnacentral:lncRNA from 1 species
UCAGAGUCAUACAUUCGGUCGGUCGGCUAUUACCAAGUCGAAGUCGUGGAGAUCAAAGUCGGGGUCGGUGGGUUUACCCCAACAGUUGCCUCCCACUUUUAACAGAACUCUACUACUCUGAAUAUUGACAUCUACUGUUCACCAACUUUUCUCUCUAACUUAAGUAUCGGAGAAUUUUCGUCGGACAUAAAUCCGGUCAGUGCGGACGUUGUCUUGCAGGUGUUCGUUCCCGACGA